rnacentral:tmRNA from 1 species
GGGGGCGAAAUGGUUUCGACGGGGAUAAGUGAAGCUUAAGGGGCAUGCCGAGGUCCUACUUGCUCGUUAAACAGGUGGGAUUAAACAUAAUUGCAAACGAUUAUGAUUACGCCCUUGCUGCCUAAUCAGCAGUAAGCGUUCUUUUAGCUUUUGCCUGCGGGGCUAAAAAGGACGUCGACUCAGCGGGAUAGUCUUCACCUCAUGCUUAUGGAGAUGAAGAUGAAACUAAAUAAGCUAGCUCUUUAAGAAUCCUGCCUGUGGGAGUUUCAAGGAGCGAAACUUAAUAUACAGGCUAAUCAUGUAGAACCUUAAGUGGAGUAUUUCCGGACGCGGGUUCGACUCCCGCCGCCUCCACCA